rfam:Picea glauca, whole genome shotgun sequence.
UGCAAGAAUUGGCGCUAACACACCAAAUCCCAUCAGAACUCUGUAGUUAAGCACACUUGGGCUAGAGUAGUACUGGGAUGGGUCACCUCCCGGGAAGUCCUAGUGUUUCAC